rnacentral:rRNA from 1 species
GACGAACGCUGGCGGCGUGCCUAAUACAUGCAAGUAGAACGCUGACUACUUUAGCUUGCUAGAGUAGAAGGAGUUGCGAACGGGUGAGUAACGCGUAGGUAACCUGCCUACUAGCGGGGGAUAACUAUUGGAAACGAUAGCUAAUACCGCAUAACAGUGUCCAACACAUGUUAGAUGCUUGAAAGAUGCAAUUGCAUCACUAGUAGAUGGACCUGCGUUGUAUUAGCUAGGUGGUGGGGUAACGGCCCACCAAGGCGACGAUACAUAGCCGACCUGAGAGGGUGAUCGGCCACACUGGGACUGAGACACGGCCCAGACUCCUACGGGAGGCAGCAGUAGGGAAUCUUCGGCAAUGGGGGCAACCCUGACCGAGCAACGCCGCGUGAGUGAAGAAGGUUUUCGGAUCGUAAAGCUCUGUUGUAAGAGAAGAACGUGUGUGAGAGUGGAAGGUUCACACAGUGACGGUAACUUACCAGAAAGGGACGGCUAACUACGUGCCAGCAGCCGCCGUAA